AGGAGAGAAAAGAGAGAGAGAGAGAGAAAGUGGAUCUGAAUUCUGUUAUGUAUUGAUUCUGUUUGUUAUAUAUUUUUAUUCUGUUACAGUGAAUAGGAUAUAUAUAGGUAUUAUAACCUGUGCCACUACUGGACUUAACCUACACCACACACACUAACUAACUACACGUUAGUUAUGAUGACAUGGCACUCUAGAAUAUACACUAAUACUCCCCCACAAGUUCAAGGUGGCUGCAAAGUCAGGCUUGAGGCAGACAAGUUGAGCUUGCUUCUGAGCUCCAGAAAUCUUGAACUUCAAAGACUUCCCAUAAAGGAAAGUAUUUACGCUCUUGUCAUGAAUAGAUCAAAAUGAGUCUUGAGGUCAUUACAGGGAGAGCCAGCCGUUGAGGUUACAAAUGAAGGUGUUGAUGCUGCAGGGCAUACAAUUGGUACAUUUUUGGAGGUCGUGUUCAAACUUAGGAAGGUUCUCAACCCCAAGAGUGUGAUCAAACCAACAUCACUAGCUAAAGAUUAUUUUGAAUCCACAACUAACUAGAUCGUCCGAUGCUUUGUAGGUACCACACCUUUGCUAUGACCAUGUCAGUCUUGAGGUCCUUAGAGGGAUUUGUCAUUGUCUCAGCUUUACUCGAUACAACAUUGCUACAGUUCAUUUAAAAUUAUCCAUCUCCUUCUGCAAUCUAUAAGAAAAAUUGCACGGUUGACUUAAUAUACCCUUGUUAUGGUUUUAUGGAUAAUCUCUCAAUAUUUGAAUAUGCAAUUGUAAACUUGUCAUGAUCUGCGGGAGAAUAUAUAAGAUACUAUGUUCUUUUAUUUACAAUAUUAUUUUGAAUUCAUAACUUGACCGUCGGAGU